CUGAUUUCAUUUUCAGCCAGCAGGGGCACUAACUGUCAUUACAGGCAGUCCCCCUGCUGGCAAUGCAGCAGCCAGCUAACCCGGCCAUUUGAUUGUGAGGUCCUCGCAAGGACCUCACUCUCACAUGACCGUCUGGGGACCUUACAAAUACCCCCUAUGUAGACAUCGUUGUGUGACCAUCCACUAUAUGUAUCUAUCUAUCCUACAUCCCUGCUGGCUGGGAAAUUGACACGGUAGCUCCACCCAGUAUCUAGUAGAGUCAGCUGUAGGGGAAAUACUGAGACAAAGUAGUCACUGUCUCAGUAUACCUCCCAGGUGUGUCUCCCCAACCGCGAUCGCCGGCGUGGGAUCGCUGGCGACCAGGUAGGUAAGAAAAACCAAAGGGCGUAAUAUUACGCCCUGCGGCGUUUAGAGCUGCUUAGAAUAGUACGCCCUCCGGUUUUAAGGGGUUAAUUUAGUUUACCUCCUGCUCUGUUUCUAGCUUCAUAGACCUUACAGGAGACUCCUGUAUGUGAUUUAAUUACAAUUUACAGAGCAGGAGAUAUUUAAAAAAAAAUAAAAAGAAAUUCUAAAGAAAGUUAACAUCUGAUUGAAA